rnacentral:lncRNA from 1 species
CUGCAUAAAGUACUCAGUGAAACAUUUGACAUAGAGCAUUAAAAUGAAAUUUUGAAUAAAGAAGACAUUUCAUUAGUUAACACAGUUUAAAUAGGUCAUUGUUGGACUAACCUGACUCAAGAAGCAAGAAUCCAUUGCAUUUCUUGUCCUUACAUCUAUAACCUUCCAGGAUAGCAUUUUCCCGAAGCUCCUCAUAUGAAUUCUUGACAGUUUGACAGCAAAAUCAGGUCAUGAAAAAUUCAAACUAAGCAGAAAGUGAAUUCCAAAAACAAAGGGAAAAGGCCAUUAAAAUAAAUAGAUUAACCAAAAACCUUGGUGCAGCAAGAACAUGUGCAGGUGAAAAAAUACUGCUUGAGAUCAUUUUGCCGUGUCUGAGUGGUUGCUGCAGUCUCUAUAUAACUUAUCAAGACCUUAAAAGGAGAAAGAUAUUAGUAACUUCAAAACCAAGUCCAUUUCCCUGCAAAUUGAAUGAUAUCAUAACUAAAAUGAUGAUGACCAAGUUCAAGCCAAGAUAUAGGAGAGAGAACCUACCUCAGCACACUUAGGUAUAGGUUCCACAGCACGGACAAAAGCUACUCGACCUUCAAAUACCAAAACUGAAUUGGGCAAACAACUGAAAUUCCAAAUAUUCCCAGCACAGAAAUUUCUCUAAUUUAGAUGUAAGAAAAGAAUUCACUAGAAGAAGCUGUUGCGGAAAAAACAAUAAAGAAAAUAUAUACAAGCUAUGAACCUGUGGUUAAUGAUGGAAAUUACAGGAUAUAGUCCAGUCCCCAGGGGUCUAAGUUCACUAUCGCAGAUAGUAUGAGCAUUACAUGCCACCUGCAUCAUAUUUAUCAGAAUCAACAUGUCGUAAAGAAAAUGUGUAUGCAAACAAACAGGCAUGUGUACACAUAUAUAAACAUCUAACUCCGUAUAAGCAUCUAACUCUGUGUAAGUGUUGAAAAUGCAUGCAUCCCCAUUUAUGGGCAUUUCUCUGUGUGUGUGUGUGUGUGUGCAAAUUAUACAUAAUGUGUCAGAGGUGCAAAAAUAAAUGAUUACCUUUCCAAUAUUAGUGAAAAGUGGAUGUUUGGAGAUAUGCUUUCAGGGUGUGGAAUGGCUGCCACAUAUCAGUGCCAGCAAUCUAAUACAAAUGAAAAUGCUGGGCAAUAAAGAGUGCGCUAGUAAAUAUUUCUGGUGUGAACUUCAAAAUGAGGAUUAGCGAACAAUUCAUGUCCGCACUGGUUUCAGGAGCUUUUUAUAGAUUUAAAACCAAACAAUUUUCGUUUUUCAAGUGUUAAACUAAGCAACAAUUUAAAAUAGUAAAAAGAUAAGAGAGCCAAUCUACCUGCCUUAGCCCAGACACUGAACAAAAACAUUUGGAAAGGAUUCACUGCUGAAACUACAGCCUUACAGAACACAAGAAGAUGCCAAUAUAGUCACCUCUCACAAUAACCUAUUGCUUUCAACUUGGUAUGUAGAAGCUUGUAGAAACCAAUGCCAUAGGCCUUCUAAUGUUCAGCUUGAGCAAGCAUUUGGAAGCUCCAUUUGCAGUUUAAUUUCUGGAACAACACUUGCACGAGCAUAGUGAUCAGUUAUCACUAUUCCUUUCCAAAAGCAAUCUGAUUUAAGAUCAGUUGGCAAUCUAUAUUUUCUUUACACAGAUAGCAUUAGGACUCAUGGAUGAGAGAUAUACGCACUGUUCGCCGAACCGCCACGAACCGGACGGUUCAGGAUAUUCCAAGCCGUACUGGCGGCAAAUCGGGACAGUUCGGACAGGUAAAUCAAAACAUCCAACGGGGGAGAGGGAAAAAGAGGAAAGGAGAGAGAGAAGAGGAGAGGGGAAGAUGGGACGACGCCGCUGGAGACCAGCGGUGGCUUGCCGAGACCGUUGGAGGGCUGCAGAGGCCUCCGCGGCUCGAUAUCGCCUAAUAGGGAGUUAAAUGAGAGAGAAAGAGAAGCAGUGGUAGUGAAGGGACUUGCAGCUGACGGAGAGGUUGUCGAAGGGCACCGGACGGCCGUUGUGGCCGCCGGACGACGUAAUCGAUGCCUACAACGCCAUGGGCAUGAAACAAGGGCGAUCACCCCUGUUUCAUUUUUGCGGUGCCGCAAGCGUCGAUUAUGCCGUCCUGCGGCUACGACAGCCAGUCGAUGGCCCUCUGGCGGCUUCUCCUCCCUCCUUUUCUUUCUUUCCUCUCCUCUCUCUAUCUCUCUCUCUUUCCCUCUUUUCCUCCUCCAUGUUUCUCUUUUUCUCCCCUAUGUCGGUUCGUGCUAGUCCGGUCCGAUACGAACCCGUACCAACUCGUACCGUCGGCCAGCCGGUAUGGGUACCGAUUCUGAUUCCAGUUCUGGCUUCUUUGGAUAUACGUUUGACUAGAAAAUUCUGUUCCUAUAGGUCUCUUCAUCUUCUAAGUCACUUGAUCUGCCAUGUUCCCUUAUGUUAAUCCAAGUCUAGGGAAACCUUAAAGGGUUGCUCCAAUUGCAUCAGCUUGAACUGCACAAGUCUCCGUAGCCAUCAGCUGACCUUCUUAGUUUAUGAUAAGCUCCCUUCUUGCUCAAAGUUCUCUUUGUGGAAAUUAACAGCAUUCUAUGGAGGGUCAAGAUAUAUUAUGAGCCAGUAAGAAAGCAGAAACGCUAAUGAAUCACUAGCCAACCCCAGAUAAUAGACCUCACCUAUCACCAAGGUGCCUAGGCAACUUUAGUACAAAAUUGAUAAUUUCUUUUCCCAACUAUUUCUAGCUCACGCAACUACAUGGACAUGCGUAAGUCUUUAUGCAGAAUGCAUUAAACAUUCUACAUGAUGCAUGGAUGCACACAACCACAGAUAUGGAAUGAAGUUAUCGAAUAGGUAUUGAUAACACACCAAUCAAAUAGCCAAAAAAAAAGGAUGAACAUGCUAUAGUAAAUGAUGAGUUCCAAACGUGAAACCAUUAGAGAUACUCUAACUUCUGUCCGGAUUUUGUGACAAGGCUUUAUGGUUAUGGUUAUGGUUUGCAAAUGAUGUCCUGCUUAUGCCUAUUUCUCCCAGGUAUUUUUGUUGCAUUCUGGUGAAAUGAUAAUUUGAUCCUAGAUGCAACAAAAAAUAAGUAACAAACUGUCUCUCGUCUGGUGCACAAUAGCAUAAAUUAGUUUAAAAAGAAAAGGAAAAAACACACAACUGUACAGCAAGUAUGCAACAUUAAUUUGAAAUUCACCUUCGAAAAAUUGCAUGCGAUCUCCUUUAAAUCGACCUCCAGUGAAGGAAGUACUAACUUGACAAGGUUAGCCAUCUGUGCAUACAGCACUAGCUGUUCCUUAUCAACAUCAGAGAUAUCUUGGUGCAUAUAAUUGUCAACCAAACAAUGUAUCAUAGAAAUCUCGCAUUGAAAUAAAUUUUCCACCAAAUGAAAAUAAAUCUAGGAUACGAGAUUCCAAAGCCUCCACCAAGCUGUAGUUAUCUAUUGCAGUAGUUGGAAUAACCUAAACAAAAGGACAAGAAAAGUACAUCAUAGUGCGCAACUCUAAUGCAUAAAGUGCCCUAAUAGUUGAUCCACAAAUAGACCCCAGUAUAGUAAUGAAUCAACAUGUUGUCUCAACAAGAUUUUAGAAACCACGCAACAUUACAAAUUCAUGCAAACGAGAGAGAGAGAGAGAGAGUCUUCCAGCUAUACUUAGCAGACUUAGUCUAAUACAAAGUAAAGUGCAUACUCUUUUACAUCUUUGUCGCAUGAGGACUUCAUUUCCUGUGCUAGAGACACCUCAAAAUACUUUAAACACAACCAUCAAAUCACAUACAAGAGAUGACAAGGAAAAACUCCAAUUUACCAAAUAUAAAUAUAUAUCACCAAGAAGAUUUACCAGUUUUGGCACCCGCAUGGGCACCUAGCCAUGCCAAGUGUUGAUACAGUACAUUUAGCAUGCAUCUCUAGUGUAAGCUAUCUAGAUUUACCAGCAAAUUAUGCUAGUGGUGAUGUCAAAUUAUGGUUUCCUUGCAUAUUUUGGGGAGCUAGUUGUCUGAAUACAGGGAGUGUUGCAUAUCUUAGGAUGGUGGUAUGUAUCAAGUAUCAGCAUGGUGCUUCUUCAACUAACUUUAGGUGCAAAUAAAAAAGUUCGAUUCUUCAUCGCUAGUUGCAAAGCAUUGAAAAGAAUUGGUCACAUGUUAGUGACACAGAUCAAUUGUACUUAUCAGUAGAUUCGAGCAAAUCAAUCAAAAUUGAGAAAUAUAGGUCUAGUAGUACCUUAAAAAAUAUAUCAUGAUGGGUAUUAAUUAUUGAAUAGUAUAAUAAGAUUUUAAGAGAAAUAUAUAAGAUUCUUAUUGUGCAUUACCAAGAAAAAUUAGCAUAGCAGCAUAACCAGCACGGUACCUAUCUCAAUUAAUUAUUAAUCACAUAUCUGUGCUUCCUUGUACAACUAGGAGAAUUGAAGAAAAUUAAGUUAGAUAAAAGACCAUUCUGGAUUCAUACAAAUAAAAUUUCAACAAGAAAGAAUUGAAGAAAAAAAUGAGAAAUUCAAACAAAAGAGCUAAUCAAGUACACAUAAAGAGGAUGAAUAACUGAAAUAGAAAUUAACAGAUCAUAUGCUCAAUUGUUACAUAAGAAAAAGAGUUGCUACAGAAAAUGAUUAACAAAAUUAAUGAUCUAAAUGAGUUCUAUAUGAGCAACCAUAGCAAGACAUCAUAGCUUUCAGCCGGGCAGAUAGAAAGAAAAACAGGAAAUGAACAAGCAAGAAGUUUGCAGAACAUGCUAUCCAAAGUUCCAAAGUCCAAACAAUAUCAUAUGUGUAACCACCUGCUCACUUUGCAAUUUUCUCCUUAGCAUCAGUCUCACCAUUAGACGAAUGGUAGGAGUGAGCUUUUUCUUUCUUUCCUCACUAAGAGCCACAAGAGCUUGGCAUUCUAGUUGAUGUAACUUCCAUUCUGAUCUCUGAUAACAAUAAAACAUAGUGCAAACAUUAGAUGUCAAAAUAAGCAACUGUAAAACUUAAUGCAGUCAUUUUGUUUCUUCUUCAACUUUCUAUAGCAUCAUUAUAGUGAUGGAAAUAAGUAAGAACAAUCUGAUUAUUUUGCCUAUACAUCUGAUAGGCUGUAGCCUUUUUUUCCAUAUUUGCACAACUGCAAUAAUUUAUAUUUCCACAACAAUGCACUUGUUGAAAAUUAGGCAGGCCUCAUUUGUAAUUUAGAAUAGGAAGACUAUCACUUGUAAAUUUUAAAGUCCUUGGGUCCACAGCCCUUAAUGGUGCCCAUGGUCUCUAUCACAUUCUAUAUUGCAUUUUCCUGGUGGACAAACCCAGCUAGUACAGCAUAAUUAGGGGUUUGAGGGCACCAGUUCAUAGAAUGGAAGAGUUGAAAUGACCAAAAUUACAAACAUCUCAUUACAAUUCAAACUACCAGGAAGAUCACAUAUUUUAUCAUCACUGGCAAUAAAAUGUUGGAAUGGAAAAACUGUUACAACUGCUGUAGAAAUCUAUCCUUGUGAGGACCUAGUACAUAGUGAAUCUUGACAUAUUGACAUUCUUAAUAGAUAGUGAACCUUGACAUAUUGGCAUGUUCUCUUACUUUCAUGAAGCAAUCCAAGUGACCUUAGAGCUAUAGUCAAAAGAUUUAUCAUUCAAUUAGAUCAGGUUUGUUUUUCAGAUCAUUAACCCUCUGGUAUACGUAUUGUACACCUGAGAAGGCUGCACUAUAUAUAUACAUGCAUCUAGCAUAUGGAUGCAACAACAUCCAUCACAAAUUAGAACACUACCAUAAGAAUGUACACAUAAUUCUUCAUCUGCAUCAUGCUCAGAUAAAGGUCUUAUCUGUGUGCUCUUCUAAUGCAGGAAGGUGCUAAGUGCUAACACAGAUUUAUAUAAAAUACAUGACCCUACUGUGCAAAAUAUACAUAUGCACAAAAGCUAAGUAAAAGAGCACAUAUGAUGAAUAUUUAUCAGACAUUAAGGGCAUGUUUGGUUGCACAUAAGCAGGCAUUCAAAGUUUACUUCAAGUAUGUGUAAAGUUACUUUAGGUGUUUGUCCCAAGGUGGCCUCAUGUAAGUUCAUGCAUUGAGAAGAAUCGGACUCAAAAAUACGGAAAGUGACUUGCUAGUAGGGAGACAAAAUCACUUUUGCAAAAUGAGUUCCCAUCUAUCCACUUACAGACAACCAAAUAAGCCCUAGGAGACUAACACCAAACUCUUUUUUGAGUUAGGUCUUGUCCCAAUGGGCAUUACCAAAACAAAAGGAAGCAAUAAAGUGAACUUGAUGCAGCCACAAUCUAUGGAAAAAAUAAUUGAUAGAAAAUAUGACACCUGGCAUGCAUUCCCACAAUACCAUGCAACCCGACAAGCUGAGCAUUUCCUUAGGUUGUUGGAUGCAAAACAUCCAUCACAACUUGAGCCACUAGAAAUUUGUUUAGGUGUAGAUGCAUAAGGCUCUUGACAAAUAAUGACUUCUCCUGCAAGAUAUAACUCCUGUCAGCAUUAAAAAAAAAUAAGAAAUGAAUUAUUACACCAGCUCUUCAAGUAUCAUAAUUCACAUGUCAAAUGUCAACUGAUAAACAAAUUCCACUCUAGGUUUGCAGCUAGAAUACAACAAAUACUAAGUGAAUAGUGAGAUGGGGUUAAAAAUUCAACAGCUGCAUGAAUUAAAUAAUAGUUUCCAUCUACUAGUUUGCUUUUAGGCAUCCAAUAUAUCCCUCAUAUAUGUUGUUGUAUCUCCAACGUCCCAUGUUAUUUCCUCUCUUCUACCAAUCUCCAAAGGAGUUAGUGAUACAUUUGAAACUAAGUGAAGGAACCAUCAAUUGGAGCCAUCAUCAAAGCAGUAGUGAACUUUGAGCAGUAAGUCGAUUUGCUUUAUGAGCAAACGAUCAUGGUAUCCUCAUUUGUCCACAGCACCUAAUCUGGAAUUUGGCAACCAGUAAAAUUCCUUCCCUGUAUAAGUUCUAAGGCAUACAUGAGCACAUGAUCACGAAACUGAUUAUGCCCGCUAGUUGUAGGUUCGUCUUCAGUCAACCAUCAAUUAAACUAUAGACUCCACAGCUAUCACAUCCUAGAGGAAAACUGGCAAAUUCUUCAAAGUAUAUUACCUAGUUGACCCAAGUGCAGUGCUUAAAUCUUCUGGCUCAGAUGGUGUUUAACUCCACUUUUUAAAGAAUUAACCACCCAUC